AAUCAACGCUGGCGGCGUGCCUCAGACAUGCAAGUCGAACGCGAAAGUCCCCUUCGGGGGACAAGUAGAGUGGCGCACGGGUGAGUAACACGUAGGUAAUCUACCUUCGGAUGGGGAAUAACAACCGGAAACGGUUGCUAAUACCGCAUAAUGCAGCGGCACCUAAUGGUGACAGUUGUUAAAGCGGGGGAUCGAAAGACCUCGCGUCUGAAGAGGAGCCUGCGGCGGAUUAGCUAGNGGUAAGGUAAUGGGCUUACCAAGGCGACGAUCCGUAGCCGGCCUGAGAGGGCAGUCGGCCACACUGACACUGACAUACGGGUCAGACUCCUACGGGAGGCAGCAGUCGGGAAUUUUGGGCAAUGGGCGAAAGCCUGACCCAGCAACGCCGCGUGAAGGAUGAAAU
rnacentral:rRNA from 1 species